rnacentral:rRNA from 1 species
AGGGCAAACCGGGGAGCUACGGCUCUUCGGGGUUGAGGACUGCAUUUAGUCUUAAUGGUCUAUCCGAACUACCUGGAAAGGUAGGCAACACAGUGUAAAAGCCACGUAGGUUAAAGGCCAGAGAGAUGAGCAGUAUCCAGAGUACCACGAGGCACGAGGAAUCUUGUGGGAAGCCGGGGGGACCACCCUCCAACCCUAAACACUGAAUGGCGACCGAUAGCGCAUAGUACCGUGAGGGAAAGGUGAAAAGAACCCCGGGAGGGGAGUGAAAGAGAACCUGAAACCGUAUGUCUACAAGCAGUCGGAGCGAAAGCGACGGCGUGCCUAUUGAAGAAUGAACCAACGAGUUACGUGCACUAGCGAGGUUAAGUGGAAGACACGGAGCCGAAGCGAAAGCGAGUCUUAAGAGGGCGGAUAGUUAGUGUACGUAGACCCGAAACCGCAGUGAUCUACCCAUGUCCAGGUUGAAGCGCAGGUAAAAUUGCGUGGAGGACCGAACCUGUGAGCGUUGAAAAGCUUUAGGAUGAGAUGUGGGUAGAGGUGAAAUUCCAAUCGAACGCGGAGAUAGCUGGUUCUCCCCGAAAUAGCUUUAGGGCUAGCCUCAAGUAGUAAGUAUAGGCGGUAGAGCACUGAUCGGGCUAGGGGCCAUAAAGGUUACCGAACCCUGUCAAACUCCGAAUGGUUAUACUGUAGAGCUUGGGAGUCAGACUACGAGUGAUAAGAUCCGUGGUCAAAAGGGAAACAGCCCAGACCACCAGCUAAGGUCCCUAAUGUCGUACUAAGUGGAAAAGGAUGUGGGGUCUCUAAAACAACCAGGAUGUUGGCUUAGAAGCAGCCACCAUUUAAAGAGUGCGUAAUAGCUCACUGGUCGAGAGACCCUGCGCCGAAGAUUACCGGGGCUAAAGUACGAAACCGAAGCUGUGGCUACGACAUAUGUCGUGGGGUAGGGGAGCGUUCUGUGAGGGCUGAAGUCGUUCUGUAAGGAACGGUGGACUUCACAGAAGUGAGAAUGUUGGUAUGAGUAGCGAAAAGAAUGGUGAGAAUCCAUUCCACCGAAAGCAUAAGGAUUCCUGGGCAACGAUCGUCGUCCCAGGGUAAGUCGGGACCUAAUCCGAGGCAUGGAGCGUAGGAGAUGGACAACUGGCAGAUAUUCCAGUACCGGUAAUGAUUGUUUGAACGAUGGAGUGACACAGGAGGGCAGGCAGGCAGGAGAUUGGUUGUUCCUGUACAAGCGUGUAGGGUGGAACGUAGGCAAAUCCGCGUUCUGAGAGCCUGAGGCGUGAUGUGGAGAUUCCGGAAACGGAACCGAAGCUGCUGACCCCACACUGUCGAGAAAAGCUUCUAGUUAGAGAAUUACCGCCCGUACCGUAAACCGACACAGGUAUGCGGGGAGAGAAUCCUAAGGUGCGCGGGAGAACCCUCGUUAAGGAACUCGGCAAAAUGUACCCGUAACUUCGGGAUAAGGGUAGCCGCUGUUGUGAAGUCUGAACAGAUGGAGCAUGAGGCGGUCGCAGAGAAGAGGCCCAAGCGACUGUUUACCACAAACACAGGUGCCUGCUAAAGAGAAAUCUGACGUAUAGGUGCUGACACCUGCCCAGUGCCGGAAGGUUAAGGAAGGAUGUCCGGAGCAAUCCAAAGCAUUCGACCGAAGCCCCGGUGAACGGCGGCCGUAACUAUAACGGUCCUAAGGUAGCGAAAUUCCUUGUCGGGUAAGUUCCGACCCGCACGAAAGGUGUAACGAUUUGGGCACUGUCUCAACGAGGGACCCGGUGAAAUUGAAGUACCUGUGAAGAUGCAGGUUACCCGCGACUGGACAGAAAGACCCCAUGGAGCUUUACUGUAACCUGACAUUGGGUUCUGAUACAUCACGUACAGGAUAGGUGGGAGGCAUGGAAGCGAGGACGCUAGUCUUCGUGGAGCCGCCGUUGGGAUACCACCCUUGAUGUAUCGGAAUUCUAACCGUAGGAGUAACGAAACUCGGGACAGUGUCAGGCGGGCAGUUUGACUGGGGCGGUCGCCUCCCAAAGAGUAACGGAGGCGCCCAAAGGUUCCCUCAGCGCGGACGGAAAUCGCGCGAAGAGUGUAAAGGCAGAAGGGAGCUUGACUGAGAGCCAAACACGGCGAUCAGGUACGAAAGUAGGGCUUAGUGAUCCGGU